rnacentral:rRNA from 1 species
AAGACCUUGCGCUUUUGGAGCGGCCGAUGCCUGAUUAGCUUGUUGGUAAGGUAAAAGCUUACCAAGGCUUCGAUCAGUAGCUGGUCUGAGAGGACGACCAGCCACACUGGGACUGAGACACGGCCCAGACUCCUACGGGAGGCAGCAGUGGGGAAUUUUGGACAAUGGGGGCAACCCUGAUCCAGCCAUGCCGCGUGAGUGAAGAAGGCCUUCGGGUUGUAAAGCUCUUUCAGCCGGAACGAAACGGUUACGGAUAACACCCGUGACUACUGACGGUACCGGAAGAAGAAGCACCGGCUAACUACGUGCCAGCAGCCGCGGUAAUACGUAGGGUGCGAGCGUUAAUCGGAAUUACUGGGCGUAAAGCGUGCGCAGGUGGUUUUGUAAGUCAGAUGUGAAAGCCCUGGGCUCAACCUGGGAACU